rnacentral:misc_RNA from 1 species
GAUGAAGAACGUAGCAAAAUGCGAUAAGUAAUGUGAAUUGCAGAAUUCAGUGAAUCAUCGAAUCUUUGAACGCACAUUGCGCCCGCCAGUAUUCUGGCGGGCAUGCCUGUUCGAGCGUCAUUUCAACCCUCAAGCUCAGCUUGGUGUUGGGACUCGCGAUAACCCGCGUUCCCCAAAUCGAUUGGCGGUCACGUCGAGCUUCCAUAGCGUAGUAAUCAUACACCUCGUUACUGGUAAUCGUCGCGGCCACGCCGUAAAACCCCAACUUCUGAAUGUUGACCUCGGAUCAGGUAGGAAUACCCGCUGAACUUAAGCAUAUCAAUAAGCGGAGGA